AGCUGAGGUAUGUGACUCUUGAGACAUCUGUUGGUCUUUGACAGGAGCCUGUUUCAACUAUGGCAAGGGUAUAAUUUAUGCUGGAAAGUAACCCACAUUCAGUACCUGGUGCAGCUGAUGUUUCCUUAGUUUAAGCUCAGAUAUUCAAUUUUCAGCAGGGGAGCUUCUCAGCAAGGGCCUUUAUUGGAAGCUUAGCUGCAUGUCCCUUUCACUUAAAGUAUGGUUACUGCACAGGCACAGCUACAUCUGUUGUCAAAUUUGGCCUAAUCUGGAAUGAAGAUAGUAAUGAUAGCUUGGCUGUACUCUGAAAGUUUUGCCACUGUACUUUGAGCUGGUUCAGUUCUAAAUAGGUCUCAUAUCCUGUUUCAUGAAAAGCAGAACAAGGAAGCCAAACUUCCUAUGGAGUUUCAUCUGACCUUCCCAUGUUAAUCACAGUUUCUGUCAAAAGUCUGUAAGACUUCCCCAGUUCCCUCAUGUCUGCAAUACAUCCUCACAUUAAUCCAUUUCCUCCACGUCCCUAUUCUUUCUUCACCACAUUUCACGUCCUUGUCCUGUAACUAUGGGCUGAGGUAGCACAGUGCUGGAGAAGCUGUGACCCGUCUGCACACUGAUCAGAAAGCAGACAUAUGCAAGGUGAUUGUCCAGCCAGGUUUUGGGGCUCUCGCACUGAAACUUAUCUUUGGAUCUCCUUUCUCCAAUUUGGGUUUGUGUAUUCACAAUGAAUAUCACCAGAGCAUCCAGGAGAAAUCAAUACGUCCCCAGUACCAAUGGGCCCAGAAGCUUUUUGUGUAGGUAACAAUGAAGUGCUACACGUCAUUUACCACUUUAGCUCCACUUACACCUUCAAUAUUUAAAUCACCUGAGGUGAGUUGACUCAUGAUAAUGCAUAUAAAGCAAAGCCAUUUAGAUUCAUGUGAAGAUUUGGGAUCAGUUACAUGCCUCUGAAGUCAGCAGGGUCCAAAAUCUGACACAGUGCAUAUCCAGAGGAACACCCUCCAGAGACCUUUUGUGUUUGCACUUUUUCUGUGGACAAAGCUGGCAAUUUAUGCUUAUUUUUUGAUAUUGGACAUUAAAGCUAGUGCAUUGCCUGGAUCAAAAUCUUUGUGCCAGAGAGGAUUUUAAU
rnacentral:lncRNA from 1 species